rnacentral:rRNA from 1 species
GGGUAGCGGAGAAAUUCCAAUCGAACCCGGAGAUAGCUGGUUCUCCCCGAAAUAGUUUUAGGACUAGCCUCAAGUUAGAUACCUGGAGGUAAAGCACUGAAUAGCCUAGCGGCCGAGAGGUUAGCGAAGCUUAUCAAACUCAGAAUGCCAGAGUAUUGAUGCUUGGGAGUCAGACAGUGUCAGAUAAAUGUCAUUGUCAAAAGGGAAACAGCCCAGAUCUACAGCUAAGGUCCCAAAGUCAGGUUAAGUGGAAAACGAUGUGAAGAUACGCAGACAACCAGGAUGUUGGCUCAGAAGCAGCCACUCAUUCAAAGAGUGCGUAAUAGCUCACUGGUCGAGCGUCUUUGCGCGGAGAAUUUAACGGGGCUAAACCUGACACCGAAGCUUAGGCAAUCCAGUAAUGGAUUGGGUAGGGGAGCGUUGUAUACGCGGAGAAACAGUAGCGUAAGCGGCUGUGGAGUGUAUAGAAGUGAGAAUGCCGGAAUGAGUAGCGCGAAUGCAGUGAGAAUCUGCAUGGCCGAAAGCCUCAGGUUUUUGGAGGAAGGUUCGUCCGCUCCAAGUUAGUCGGGAGCUAAGGUGAGGCCGGAAGGCGUAGCCGAUGCACAGACGGUAGAGAUUCCGUCACCACCAAAAGAGUUAAGCACAGGGACACAUUUGAAGUCUCAGAGCCGGGUGUUGGUUCCGGUAGAGAUCGAGGGAAGUUAGUACCGAAGUCUGGGAUGGAAGAUGGCGAGAAAAGCUGUGUGUAUUUCUGAGGUGCCCGUACCGCAAACCGACACAGGUAGGUAGGAAGAAGAUUCUAAGGCCAACGGGAGAAGGGUUGUUAAGGAACUCGGCAAAUUGACCCCGUAACUUCGGGAGAAGGGGUGCUCCAGAGAUGGAGCCGCAGAGAAUCGGCCCAAGCAACUGUUUACCAAAAACACAGGUUUGUGCUAAAUCGAAAGAUGACGUAUACGAGCUGACGCCUGCCCGGUGCUGGAAGGUUAAGAGGAGAUGUGCAAGCAUUGAAUCGAAGCCCCAGUGAACGGCGGCCGUAACUAUAACGGUCCUAAGGUAGCGAAAUUCCUUGUCAGGUAAGUUCUGACCCGCAUGAAAGGCGUAAUGAUUUGGGCACUGUCUCAACAGCCCGCCCGGCGAAAUUGUAGUACCGGUGAAGAUGCCGGUUACCCGCGACAAGACGGAAAGACCCCAUGGAGCUUUACUGUAGCCUAAUAUUGGGUUUCGAUGUUGCAUGCACAGGAUAGAUGGGACACAGGGAAACAAUCGCUUUGGCGGUUGCGGAGUGGCCGUUGGGAUACCAUCCUUGCGAUAUUGGAAUUCUAACCUGCGGCUCUGAAUCGAGUCGGGGGACAUUGUUAGGUGGGCAGUUUGACUGGGGCGGUCGCCUCCUAAAAAGUAACGGAGGCGUUCAAAGGUUCGCUCAGCUUGAACGGAAAUCAAGCAAAAGAGUGCAAACGCAGAAGCGAGCCUAACUGCGAGACUGACGGGUCGAGCAGUAACGAAAGUUGGAGUUAGUGAUCCGGUGGUAUGUGAGUGGAAAUGCCAUCGCUCAACGGAUAAAAGUUACCCUGGGGAUAACAGGCUGAUCUCCCCCAAGAGUCCACAUCGACGGGGAGGUUUGGCAC